rnacentral:rRNA from 1 species
UACGUAGGGUGCGAGCGUUAAUCGGAAUUACUGGGCGUAAAGUGUGCGCAGGCGGCCGCGCAAGUCGAGUGUGAAGGCCCCGGGCUUAACUUGGGAAUUGCGCUCGAAACUACGUGGCUAGAGUGUGGCAGAGGGAGGUGGAAUUCCACGUGUAGCGGUGAAAUGCGUAGAGAUGUGGAGGAACACCGAUGGCGAAGGCAGCCUCCUGGGCCAACACUGACGCUCAUGCACGAAAGCGUGGGGAGCAAACAGG